rnacentral:rRNA from 1 species
UACGUAGGGGGCAAGCGUUGUCCGGAAUGAUUGGGCGUAAAGGGCGCGUAGGCGGCUCGGUAAGUUUGGAGUGAAAGUCCUGGCUUUAAGUUGGGAAUUGCUUUGAAAACUGUCGGGCUUGAGUGCAGGAGAGGUUAGUGGAAUUCCCAGUGUAGCGGUGAAUGCGUAGAGAUUGGGAGGAACACCAGUGGCGAAGGCGACUAACUGGACUGUAACUGACGCUGAGGCGCGAAAGUGUGGGGAGCAAACAGG